AUUGAACGCUGGCGGCAUGCCUUACACAUGCAAGUCGAGCGAACCCUUCGGGGUGAGCGGCGGACGGGUGAGUAACGCGUGGGUAACCUGCCCUAUACACACGGAUAACGUACCGAAAGGUACGCUAAUACGGGAUAAAGUUGUUGGAUGGCAUCUUCUAACAAUCAAAGCUCCGGCGGUAUAGGAUGGACCCGCGUCUGAUUAGCUAGUUGGUGAGGUAAUGGCUCACCAAGGCGACGAUCAGUAGCCGACCUGAGAGGGUGAUCGGCACACUGGAACUGAGACACGGUCCAGGCUCCUACGGGAGGCAGCAGUGGGGAAUAUUGCACAAUGGGCGAAAGCCUGAUGCAGCAACGCCGCGUGAGCGAUGAAGGUCUUCGGAUCGUAAAGCUCUGUCCUCAAGGAAGAUAAUGACGGUACUUGAGGAGGAAGCCCCGGCUAACUACGUGCCAGCCGCCGCAGUAA
rnacentral:rRNA from 1 species